rnacentral:rRNA from 1 species
GAUAAACGCUGGCGGCGUGCCUAACACAUGCAAGUCGAACGAUCCCGCAAGGGAGAGUGGCGGAAGGGUGAGUAACACGUGGGAAUCUACCUCCUCGCAGGGAACAACCUCUCGAAAGAGAGGCUAAUACCCAAAAGGGUCAGAAAUGAUCAGAGUCGAAAGGCGUGAGGAGAGGAGCCCGCGGCCCAUCAGCUAGUUGGUGAGGUAAUGGCUUACAAGGCUACGACGGGUAGGGGAUCUGAGAGGAUGUCCCCCACACUGGAACUGAAACACGGUCCAGACGCCUACGGGUGGCAGCAGUGAGGAAUAUUGGACAAUGGGCGAAAGCCCGAUCCAGCAACGCCGCGUGGAGGAUGAAGGCCUUCGGGUCGUAAACUUC